rnacentral:rRNA from 1 species
UACGUAGGGGGCAAGCGUUGUCCGGAUUUAUUGGCGUAAAGAGCGUGUAGGCGGCCUGAAAGGUCAGCUGUGAAAACUCGAGGCUCAACCUCGAGACGUCGGUUGAAACCAUCUGGCUAGAGUCCGGAAGAGGAGUGUGGAAUUCCCGGUGUAGCGGUGAAAUGCGCAGAUAUCAGGAGGAACACCUGUGGCGAAAGCGGCUCACUGGACCAUAACUGACGCUGAUGCACGAAAGCUAGGGGAGCAAACAGG